rnacentral:lncRNA from 1 species
GGAACGUAAUGGAGCACAUACUGAGUAUGAGCCACUAACUAGUCAAAGACCUGUGAAUUCUAGGAACAGGAGAUUUCCCCAUUAAAUCCCUCACUUCCUCAAGUAAAUGGUAUCAGAAGGAAUGAGCAAACCAAGUACUUCAUGGGAGCUCAAAAAAAGUCCUUUUCUAAGUGACAAAAAGAGUUCUCUACAAUUCAAGAGAACAGAUUCACAAACAUCUCUGGAAGACUUGUUCACACUCUCUUUGCCAGUACCUGAAUCUUGGGAGGAAGAUGAAGACAAGAAUCAUGAGGAAGUGGACAGAUUCUGUCUCCCCUGUAUAACAUUAUUGAUCUUAAUUUUAUCAUUUAUCAUUUUUGUUAUUAUUCUUAUGAUGAUGUAUUUAUAUUAAACAUGAUACUAUGCAUCACACACCUGACCAUCACCCCACCUCCCACAAUCAUUAGCUGGGUGGCAA